rnacentral:rRNA from 1 species
UUUCCGUAGGUGAACCUGCGGAAGGAUCAUUCAAAAUGAGCGGUGCCGGGUUUCUUCGGAUUCUCGGUACUGGUUCUAUAUUUCUCGUGUACCUUUUGAAACAAAUCUUUUAACAAUGUAAAACCAAACAAUAUUCUUAUCACAAAUUAUUACAACUCGUGACGGUGGAUGUCUAGGCUCCAACAACGAUGAAGAACGCAGCGAAAUGCGAUACGUAGUACGAAUUGCAGAACCCGUGAAUCAUCGAAUUUUUGAACGCAAGUUGCGCUCGCGGGCAAUCCUGUGAGCAUGUCUGUUUGAGUGUCCGCUGAAAUGUUUAGUUCCCUUUGAACGGCUGGAAACGGCCUGUUUGGGGAGCUGCUGGUGGGUUCACGAAUGUGAAAGUCCGGGCCACUCGCAAGUUUCGGCUUGUCAAGAGGUGUCGGUCACCCGAAGUAGAGAGCGCUGGUCGACUGUUGGUUUUGCUGCGACAUUCUGGGUUCGUCCUGGUGAGUUGCUCGCGCGCGCUGUGAAGUAAUUUAUUACCGGAAGCAGGGUUCGAUCGGGUGUACUAGGACAUGACUCGUUGCAGUGAGAAGAUGGUUGUUUCGGCCUUGAUAAAAACACAAAAAUACAUUUGGAUCUCAAAUCAGACAAGACGACCCGCUGAAUUUAAG